rnacentral:misc_RNA from 1 species
GACCUACAACUAUGGCGUAAAAGAGUACGACAAAGGAAAUGCAUAUGGACAGAUAGCAAUCGGCACAGACGAUGUCUAUAGAACUGCAGAAGCAAUAGGGUUACAUGGUGGAACAAUAACUCGGGAACCAGGGCCUUUACCUGGGAUCAACACCAAAAUUACUGCUUGCUUGGAUCCUGAUGGUUGGAAAACGGUUUUUGUCGACAACAUAGAUUUUGCCAAAGAAUUGGAGUGACUUGCCAUCCUGCCUGAGCUUUCUGUGCGCCUCGAGGUAUCUCUGACCUCCACCUGAUCCGGUGAUGAUUCGCUGGCAUUCGUGUAAAAUUCCCUGCCUUGAACUCCAGCUGUAGAUAUAAAAGCCAUAUCUGGGUUAUUAGAGUAAC